rfam:Populus trichocarpa scaffold_25_contig_12, whole genome shotgun sequence.
CUUUUGCCUGUGAUGGUAUUAAAUAUACUCCGAGAUUUAAAUAUCUAUGAAAUCAAUUUAAUCUGAGGCAUUUA